UCAAAGAACAUAGAAAUGGUAUCAAGGCAGGCAGAAUUGUGAUGGCUCUAGCUGAACAAGCCUACCUUAAUGAUUUGCUUAUAGAAUGGGACCAUGCAGAGAUAAUAAAGAUGAUUAAGCUACCAACACAGGCAGUAACCCAAGAAACAAUAGAAAUUUUGAAAGCGAGAGACAACCAGAACCUAAUAAAUGACAAACCUUCGGCCGACUUACCAGCAGCUUGGAAAUACAUGUUAAGAGAUUUUAAAUGACUGCGCAAAACUUAACCUGCCUAAAAAAAAAGGAGGAGCCUUACGUACUUGGGAGUUAAAUG
rnacentral:lncRNA from 1 species